AUACGGAGGGUGCGAGCGUUAAUCGGAAUUACUGGGCGUAAAGCGUACGUAGGCGGUUUGCUAAGUCAGAUGUGAAAGCCCCGGGCUUAACCUGGGAACUGCAUUUGAUACUGGCAGACUAGAGUAUGAUAGAGGGGGGUAGAAUUCCUGGUGUAGCGGUGAAAUGCGUAGAUAUCAGGAGGAAUCCCAGUGGCGAAGGCGGCCCCCUGGAUCAAUACUGACGCUGAGGUACGAAAGCGUGGGGAGCGAACAGGAUUAGAUACCCUAGUAGUCC
rnacentral:rRNA from 1 species